GAUGAACGCUGGCGGCGUGCCUAAUACAUGCAAGUCGAGCGAACGGACGAGAAGCUUGCUUCUCUGAUGUUAGCGGCGGACGGGUGAGUAACACGUGGAUAACCUACCUAUAAGACUGGGAUAACUUCGGGAAACCGGAGCUAAUACCGGAUAAUAUUUUGAACCGCAUGGUUCAAAAGUGAAAGACGGUCUUGCUUUCACUUAUAGAUGGAUCCGCGCUGCAUUAGCUAGUUGGUAAGGUAACGGCUUACCAAGGCAACGAUGCAUAGCCGACCUGAGAGGGUGAUCGGCCACACUGGAAAUGAGACACGGUCCAGACUCCUACGGGAGGCAGCAGUAGGGAAUCUUCCGCAAUGGGCGAAAGCCUGACGGAGCAACGCCGCGUGAGUGAUGAAGGUCUUCGGAUCGUAAAACUCUGUUAUUAGGGAAGAACAUAUGUGUAAGUAACUGUGCACAUCUUGACGGUACCUAAUCAGAAAGCCACGGCUAACUACGUG
rnacentral:rRNA from 1 species